rnacentral:lncRNA from 1 species
CGGUAUAAUCCACAGGUGGAAGGACACACUCUGUUAAAUGUUUUGCUAAAUCUUUAUUUCUAAUGGGUGCACUUGGCACUCUUACGGACAUAACAGGAGGCUGAACCAAGAACUGGCCUGAAUCAAGUUACAUUCAAAGUCAAAACUCAAACAGACCACGUUUGCAGUAACAGAACAGGGACAGAACAGCAGAAUUUAAUUCAGAAUUAGCAGAAAUAGGCUGAGGCUGGCCAGAGUAUAAUGGAUUUCAAAAAUUAACUUGGAUCCACAAAGAAAUCAGGUCUUUUAAACCUGAUUGUUUACAGCUGCUUCACCAUGUGAAAUGACAGGUCGUGGAGCUCUGAUGGGGCUCUAACGAGAGUCAUCAUUGCCAGAGACAAGUGACACAUGCAGUGAGCGCAGUGCUUUAGCAACAGGCAACCUUAUCCUACUAUUAAGUAAACUCUUCAUCCGAUUGCCAUUUCAAUUUUAUAGCUACUGCCGACACAAGCCAUUAAAAUGCGCAAGCUAGAUUCGCAAUUAUUCAUUCAAAUAGCACUUAAAUUUGUAGAGGAGUAUUCUUGCUCUUGAACUUGCAGAGCUGCCAUCCACACCUCGCUGAAAAGCUACUUUAAAAACAUACUGGCGAGAAAGUGUCCUUUCUAUCCUUGUUGGCCUCAGCUGAAAGAUCUGUUUCUGUUCACAGGAGGAAAAUGAACUCUCAUGCAAAUAAGGCAACAACGGGAGAGUGUGGAAGUCCAGGAGUAGAAGCUUGAUUUAGGUGCACAGACACAGAGCUCCAUUACCAUACAGGAGGGCUCUUGUUCUUCACCUCCACGCUGCUGAUCCAGCGGGGUUUGGGAGCAUAUUCAGCCUGCACAAAGUCUGAAGACGAAUGGCCUCAUAUGCUGGCAAAGGGGUACAUGCUUCAGAAAGCUGGUAACACCACUGGGGCAGAAGGCCUCUUUGGCAAAUCUGGAAAGGUACAGAGGUGUCUGCAGCAGACAACACUCUGUUUGCCUCACUACUUCCUCAGAGAGAAGUACACAGGGAGGGAAGAAGAGAAGGCUACAGGAGGAGUCACUGAAGCUAAUAACGGCCAAUUGCUUCUGCAUCUCAUUUGUGACUCAACCUCUUCUGUGACUUACAUCAGAAUGAACCCAGAGGCACUGUGAGACCUAUAGUGGGACUAUCCUCAUUUUGCGCAGCUGGAGAGACCAGCAUGCACUGACCCUUUGGGCCCAUGUUUUGACUCCUUUGUAGAAGAAAUCAGAUGCAGAUGCAAGCACACACAUCUGUAAUGAUGAGCAGGAUCGAUGAGAGCAUUAAUUCCCCCAGUUGUUUAAUGCAGUGGACGUGUUUCUCUAGAGAGCUGAGUUCAAAUUCAAUUUAGAUGACAAGUUAAAAUAAUAGAGGCCAUUUUUUUUCCUUCCAAGGAGAUAUCCAUCUACCUCCAGAUACCAUGACAUAAUUGGCAAUAUCUUCUCAAGACAAAUCAGGUCUGAGAUUGGUAGGGACUGCUGAAUGCUGAACCUUGAACCAGGACUUUCUGCCCCGUUCCUUACUCCACCUGGUACUGCUGGCUCCACAGAGCAUGAAACUAAUGUGCAAUACUUUGAAAUUAUGAAUUAAUUUGUAACAGACAAUGUCUGCUGGAAGGAUUCAAACCUGCAUUGCCAGUGAUGACAGCAACUCUUCUAUUGGUUUUAAAAGGGAUUUGGAUAGCCAAUAGUGCUGGCCAUUUUCUAAAAGUACCUACUGACUUCGAAGGUCUCCACAUUUUACCUCCUGAAACACACAACAUUGUGCUCCCAUCUCCACCCCUGGUCACCCACACCAGAAAUUUGGAAGCAUACGCAAAUGUCUGAGCACCGCAGUUUCCUUUUGGUUGACCCUAAGGGCAAAGGAAGGCGCAGAGGUGGAGGUGUGCACUGCUGCUCAUCUAGCCUGCAGCUGGGACUGUUCUAAGAUGCAUGUGCUGCUCUGAAACCAGGAGCAACUCCCUUCUUUGUGGUCACCUCCUUGUUUCAGUUUGCGAAUGCUGUGAUUGCAACAGUGAAAAAUUUCAACCAUGAUGCUGAUGUUCUCUACAUCAAAUCAAGCUCUGUCACUGGCACUCUAAACAUUUCCUAAAGAUAGAAAUACACUCAAGGAAACGGUGUUUGGAUUCACCUUGGGCUGCAGAAUUGUUUUUUCUUUUAGGAAGUCAAAUGAGUAACCGUCCUCUGUGCAGGUAUCUCAGCUGUGGCUGUAGCUCUGCUCCCCAUCACCCAGUCAACAAGUCGCAUGGACAAAACCAUGCAGGCAGAGGGGAAAAGUUUCUUCUUGGAGCUCCACACUUUCAGCAGUACCUGUUAAAAUACAUGUUUUAUUCACUCUUCAUCUCGUGGAAAGACUUUCAAAGGAACCUUAGCAUACACUAGGAACAAAAUUUAAUCUUCAGCACACAGCUCCCCCUGCAAAUGAAGGACUAUGUCAUCUCUGGGUUCAACAAUAGCAAAAGAUGUGAAUUCUGAGCUCUAACUAAAAAGGACAUUUCACACCUAGUCUUGGUUUCAAUGUGUAAGGCUUGUGCUUAGCGAUUCAGUAAGACCACCUUGACAUUUAAACAUGUGUCACUCACUUCAAAAAUGUGUCUGGCCCUCCACCCUCCUCGACCCCCUGGCCUCUAUGAAAAGGAAACUGGGCCUUUUAAGGGCAUCUGUCAAAUGUCAGGCAAGCAUGCAUAAUCUGCAGUGUGCUCCCAGGGUAACUGCUGAAUAGUUGCUGCUAAACCCUUCGGAAACUAAGGAAAGAGCCAGACCUGUUGAAACCAAGGACAAAACAGGAGGAACUUUUAGAAACGAUUUGUUGGUACAAAUGCAGAGACCUCCGCUUUGAAGCACGGAAGGCUGUCGCUAGUGGCAGCAGACAACAACGGCACGCAUUCACAACACCGGCUGUCAUAAUUAAUUUCUUGGCAAUCAUUGCUGGGGGGAAAAAAAAAAAAAAAAAAAGUUGCAGAGAAUUAAGCCAGUGCAAAGUAACCUACACCAGAACAGGGAAAAAAAAAUCAGCGAAGCCUUUGGGAAGUCCCAAAUUAAGCUUGGCUUUCUGUGUCCUGUAGCUUAUUAACCUUAAACUGUGAAAUUCUUGAGAGAAUGAGACUAGAGUAUGAAUAGAACAAUUGCGAGUCUUUCCUCUGUAUUGAAAUGAAGUGAUUAUGUGUAUCACUGUAGUGCAUAAACAACAGAGAUGUUGAGAGACUCAGCAUUUCCAAGAUAAUAAAAUAAAUGGGCAGAGGAAGUUUUCCUUAACU